GACGAACGCUGGCGGCGUGCCUAAUACAUGCAAGUUGAGCGAUGAAGAUUGGUGCUUGCACCAAUUUGAAGAGCAGCGAACGGGUGAGUAACGCGUGGGGAAUCUGCCUUUGAGCGGGGGACAACAUUUGGAAACGAAUGCUAAUACCGCAUAACAACUUUAAACAUAAGUUUUAAGUUUGAAAGAUGCAAUUGCAUCACUCAAAGAUGAUCCCGCGUUGUAUUAGCUAGUUGGUGAGGUAAAGGCUCACCAAGGCGAUGAUACAUAGCCGACCUGAGAGGGUGAUCGGCUACAUUGGGACUGAGACACGGCCCAAACUCCUACGGGAGGCAGCAGUAGGGAAUCUUCGGCAAUGGACGAAAGUCUGACCGAGCAACGCCGCGUGAGUGAAGAAGGGUUUCGGAUCGUAAAACUCUGUUGGUAGAGAAGAACGUUGGUGAGAGUGGAAAGCUCAUCAAGUGACGGUAACUACCCAGAAAGGGACGGCUAACUACGUG
rnacentral:rRNA from 1 species